UACGUAGGGAGCAAGCGUUGUCCGGAAUCAUUGGGCGUAAAGCGCGCGUAGGUGGUCCCGUAAGUCCGCUGUGAAAGUCAAAGGCUCAACCUUUGAAAGCCGGUGGAUACUGUGGGACUAGAGUACGGAAGAGGCGAGUGGAAUUCCUGGUGUAGCGGUGGAAUGCGCAGAUAUUGGGAGGAACACCAGCGGCGAAGGCGGCACUCUGGGCUGGUAUUGACGCUGAGGAGCGAAAGCGUGGGUAGCGAACAGG
rnacentral:rRNA from 1 species